rnacentral:rRNA from 1 species
GGAAUAUUGGGCAAUGGGCGCAAGCCUGACCCAGCGACGCCGCGUGGGUGUUGAAGGCCUUCGGGUCGUAAAGCCCUGUCGGGUGGAAAGAAUGGGAGUGGAGUGAAUAGCCCGACUCCGUGACGGUACCACCGAAGGAAGCACCGGCCAAUUCCGUGCCGGCAGCCGCGGUAAGACGGAAGGGGCAAGCGUUGCUCGGAAUCACUGGGCGUAAAGGGUGCGUAGGCGGCUGUGUAAGUCUGGCGUGAAAGCCCAGGGCUCAGCCCAGGAAGUGCGCUAGAAACUGCGCGGCUGGAGUGCCGGAGGGGAGAGUGGAAUUCCUGGUGUAGCGGUGAAAUGCGUAGAUAUCAGGAGGAAUACCGGUGGCGAAAGCGACUCUCUGGACGGCAACUGACGCUGAGGCACGAAAGCGUGGGGAGCAAA